rnacentral:rRNA from 1 species
AUUGAACGCUGGCGGCAGGCCUAACACAUGCAAGUCGAACGGUAACAGGAAGAAGCUUGCUUCUUUGCUGACGAGUGGCGGACGGGUGAGUAAUGUCUGGGAAACUGCCUGAUGGAGGGGGAUAACUACUGGAAACGGUAGCUAAUACCGCAUAACGUCGCAAGACCAAAAAGGGGGACCUUCGGGCCUCUUGCCAUCGGAUGUGCCCAGAUGGGAUUAGCUAGUAGGUGGGGUAACGGCUCACCUAGGCGACGAUCCCUAGCUGGUCUGAGAGGAUGACCAGACACAAUGGAACUGAGACAAGGUCCAGACUCCUACGGGAGGCAGCAGUGGGGAAUAUUGCACAAUGGGCGCAAGUCUGAUGCAGCCAUGCCGCGUGUAUGAAGAAGGCCUUCGGGUUGUAAAGUACUUUCAGCGGGGAGGAAGGGAGUAAAGUUAAUACUUUUGCUAAUUGACGUUACCAGCAGAAGAAGCACCGGCUAACUCAGUG